rnacentral:rRNA from 1 species
GACGAACGCUGGCGGCGUGCUUAACACAUGCAAGUCGAACAGUAAGGCCCUUCGGGGUACACGAGUGGCGAACGGGUGAGUAACACGUGGGUGAUCUGCCCUGCACUUCGGGAUAAGCCUGGGAAACUGGGUCUAAUACCGGAUAGGACUCCGGACUGCAUGGUCUGGGGUGGAAAGCUUUUGCGGUGUGGGAUGGGCCCGCGGCCUAUCAGCUUGUUGGUGGGGUGAUGGCCUACCAAGGCGACGACGGGUAGCCGGCCUGAGAGGGUGACCGGCCACACUGGGACUGAGACACGGCCCAGACUCCUACGGGAGGCAGCAGUGGGGAAUAUUGCACAAUGGGCGCAAGCCUGAUGCAGCGACGCCGCGUGAGGGAUGAAGGUCUUCGGAUUGUAAACCUCUUUCAGUAGGGACGAAGCGAAAGUGACGGUACCUAAAGAAGAAGCACCGGCUAACUACGUGCCAGCAGCCGCGGUAA